AAUCAACGCUGGCGGCGUGCCUCAGACAUGCAAGUCGAACGCGAAAGUUUCCUUCGGGAGACAAGUAGAGUGGCGCACGGGUGAGUAACACGUAGGUAAUCUACCUUUGGAUGGGGAAUAACAACCGGAAACGGUUGCUAAUACCGCAUAAUGCAGCGGCACCUAAUGGUGACAGUUGUUAAAGCGGGGGAUCGAAAGACCUCGCGUCUGAAGAGGAGCCUGCGGCGGAUUAGCUAGUUGGUAAGGUAAUGGCUUACCAAGGCUACGAUCCGUAACCGGCCUGAGAGGGCGGUCGGUCACACUGACACUGACAUACGGGUCAGACUCCUACGGGAGGCAGCAGUCGGGAAUUUUGGGCAAUGGGCGAAAGCCUGACCCAGCAACGCCGCGUGAGGGAUGAAAUCCCUCGGGAUGUAAACUUCGCAAGAACGGGAAGAAUAAGUAGGGACAAUACCCCCUA
rnacentral:rRNA from 1 species